ACUUUUCUUGGUGUGUGGAUGAAUGUGAGCGGCGAGGGAGAAGCUGGAGCGGGGUACCGACACCGACAGGCCGCUGCAGCCCCAGCCAGCAUCCAUCCCCUUCCCCCACUCAGCUCAUGGUUACACCGUUACCAUUCUUCAGUGCUUCAAACCGUGGAAAACAGAUGGGUAGUUGUGACUUUCUGGAUGCUUUGUAGUUGUAUUCGUGAUCUUGGUUGCUUCAGAAAACGGAGACAGAGUGUGUAUGUGUGUGGGGGUGCGUGCGUUCGUGUGUUCAGUCGGGCCAUACAAAAGCUCAGCGUAUCGCUCUCCACAAUCAUUGUCCUUCCCACGGUCUGCAGAGAGUUUCAUGGGCGCAUGGACGGGAUGUCUGCUUCAUUGUUGGUCCAACAUGAGGAGCCAAAUGAGAGGCAGAAAUGUUCUUUAAGCAGCAGCAUGUCUGGAAUUAUUCCACAGCUACUGGAACAGUUACCAGGGGCAAUUCUACUUAACACGGUUAGCAGCUUACAAGGACUCCUGACCAAGACAAUUAUUAAACGCUGUUUAAUUUUAUACAUUCAUUCAACAACAGUAGAAAUUUAGCAACAACUGAACCACCAAGAAAGCCUUUUGAGCUGUUAUCUAUCCUCCACAUGAACCGGUGUGAAACUAAGGCUAGUAUAUUUCUCAAACAUAUAAUAGUAUUCCAAGAAAAUAGUCACAGAUUUAAUAACCAAAUGUGAUAUGAACCAAAUGACUGGUCCAUGGUUAGGGUUUAAGGAGCACAUGAGGCUUGGUUAAGGCACCUUACUUAUUAGUUGUUCCAGGAUGAGCGUUUGUUGUUGCUUAGUCAUCUUGAAUAAGAUAAUCAAUUGUAGGAUAACUUGUUGGUCAGCCACAAUCACACAGCUUAUGCGACCGAUUGCCUUUUAGUUUACAAAACCAACGAUAAAGCCUGAAGGGAUAGUAAAUAGACUCAAUAAAGGCAAUUAAAGAUAUAAACAUGAAUAUUGAACAAUGAAUGUUGAUCUGUUUAUAACAUCAGUUUAUGUCAAACCAAAGUGUAAUGUGCACCUGUGCAGUAUAGCCCAUCUGUAUUGAAGGGUUUCAGUAAUAAUUAUGAUUUGGUUUCAGGGUUUCCCCCAGAAAACUUGCUAAGCCUGGUGGUUGGGGUGCCGAGGCGGUCCACCAUGUUUUUGUAUUAAAAGAUGUUAAGUUGACUGGAAGUGUAAAAAUAUUAAUGGGUAAUUAUAUGUUACUGAAAACAUCAUUUUCACCAACAUAUUUCAGUAACAUAUAAUUAUGUUACUGAACAUAAUUUACUGAAGUAAUUAUGUUACUGUUGUUUUUGAGACAAAUAGUCUCAAAAACAACAAAUCAAACAAUACAAUUCAAACUAGAAAAAGUGUGCAUUUCCUGCAAAAAUGCAAGUGUGAAUGCUCAAUGCUUUUGUUGAAAAUGCCAAAACGUGUGAAGUCAACUGCAUUUCAGAAAUGCAAGAAAUAGGCAGAAGCAGAAGUGUUCGUGGCCCACACAAAGAUCCAUCCAGUGAAAUAACCUUUUACCUGCUCAGGGUGUUUUUGUACCAUCUGGACCUCCCAAAACACAGUCAGGACUCUUUAAUCUGUUAGUUGAAAUAUUGUAUUUUUAUUGUUGGGGCAUUUGAUAUUCAUGUGUGCGGUGCUGAUAAGCCAAUGGCAACUUACCUUUUAAACCAUGACAAUGUUGAUACUGUUUAAUUAAAAAAUUAUAAUUUAUAAUCCUGCAAAGUGCCUAAAUGGGAUUAUUAUAACAGAAAAACUGUUGAAGAGGAGUAAAUCUUUUGAACAAUGCAAAAAUUCCACCCAAACAGUAUUAGAAGUAAUAUGUUCUAUGCAAUAUAUAUAUAUACAUAUAAACUCAGGUAAAACCUGACAGAAACGUCUCCCUAUUCUUUCUGAUAAAAACUGUGGGUGAAUGAAAUCCAAACUUUUUAUGGUUCCUGAGAUACCAUUUGUUUGGAGGCAUCGUUUAGCAUGGUGACUACAAAAAACAUGCCACAUGCAGUACGAAAAAAGCAAUGUCAAAAGCUUAAAUUAUUCCCAGGUGUUAUACAGCAUAAAAGCUGUUAAACUGCCCAACUUCAAAAUGGCCACUGCCCUGUGUCCUCCAUGACAGCACCAAAACUGCAAUUAAUAUGCAAGACCUGAGAAAUCAACUGUGAAACACAUUUCAUAUUGUGAUUCUCAAUUCUGCCACAUGAUGUAGCUGUUGCCCAUAUUUCUAUGGGGUGACAAAUUCAUAAAAAGCUGAAUAUUAUCAAAAGUAUGAAGGUUACGAAUACCAAAAGAUAUAGCCAGCAUUAAGAGAGCAAGGUGAAUAGUAUAAAAGUUGAAUGGUGAAAAUAGCACAAAGUAUGCAGGAGAAGAAGCGCGGCGAAAAAGUGAGCAACCAGAAUAAAAAUAAUUAAGAACUAGAAAGUAUGCAUUUCCUAUGAAAAUGUAAAUGUGAAUGCUGAAUUGUCAAUGCUGAAUGCUUUUUGUGAAAAUGGCAAAAGUGUUUGCAGCUGACCUGAGACAUGAACUGUGAAACACAACAGACAUUUUAUAUUGUAAUUUGCAAUUCUGCCACAGGAUGUAGCUGUUUCCCCCAUUUCUACAGGGGUGAAAAAUUCAUAAAAAGUUGAAUAUCAUCAAAAGUAUGAAGGUUAUGACUACCAAAAGAUGUAGCCGGCAUUAGCAGAGCAAGCUGAAUGGUAUAAAAGUUAAAUGGUGAAAAUAGUACAAAGUAUGCAAGCGUGGCGAAGAGUGUACAGAAGCAACCAUAAUAAUAAAAAAAAAUAUAUAAUAAUAAUAAUAAUAAUAAUAAAGAACAAGGAGAAACAGGAAAACAAGACAAUGAAUGCCUGCAGCAUUCACCCCAACUAGAAAGUGUGCAUUUCCUAUGAAAAUGCAAGUGUGAAUACUCAAUGCUGAAUGCUUUUGGUGGAAAUGGCAAAAUUGUUUGAAGCCAACUGCUGGAGACUUGCAGAAAGGUAAGAAAUAGUCUACUUAAUCUACUGAAUUUCUGAAAAGGUAACGCUAGCUUUACCUUUUUAGCUAGCUCAAGAGUGUGAAUGCCGUUCUAAUGAAUAUCAAUUAUUUGCACUUCUGUUUAUUUACAUUCUGAUUGAUUGUAAAAGAGUCUAGAUGAAUACUUUAUAUAAAAUUAAGGAACCAAGAACUUCCCUUUGUUCAAACCACAAUGUAUUCACAAUCUGGGGGGUUAAAAUGUCCAAAUCGUGUACCCAGCCAUUCGUAAAUUGGACAUGUGCCUCCACUGACUUGUAAUUCAGUCAGUGAAUUACAAAUCUUUCCUGCGGCUGUGCUCAUUAACUUUGGCUGACUAUGUGGACAAAGCAUUUGAUACAGUUUGAUGCUUUGUGUAACCGGAAAAAUAAUAUUUAAAAAAAAUCAUAAAAUAAUAUAAAACAAGCGUGAGGAGCGAAAUCUCCUCACCGGGCUGAACCUGCAUGAUGAGUGAUUAUCGCUGGUUUGUUAACUACUAAUGCACCGGCCAACCGGGACCACAUGCCUUUACACAGAAGACAGAGCCACACAUGGCAUAAUUCUUUGCUCACAAAGAUAAAUCAUUCUCACUGCUCCUUCAGUGCACAUCGCUGAAAGCGCGACUACAAGUUAUAACUACGGUUCACAUAGAGCUGGCCAACCAGAGCUAAAGCGGUUCAUUUUUAACGUUUACCUCGAUUUCUCCAAAGAAACAUAAUUCCUCACAGGGGGUUGGUGUAAAUAUCCAUACAGGUCAAGGAAAUGGGUUAAAGGCAUACUUCAGCUUAUUAUCCACUUCCUUGAGCAUCUACUGUAUGAUCCACUUAUUUAAAAAUUACAAUACUUACAAUACUCUUCCCUUUUGACACCAACUAUCCUCGGACCUGAGCAACAAAUCAAAAUAAUAUUGCUAAGUGUCAUUCUAAAUAUAUACUGACAAAAAUCACUAUAUCAGUGAUUUUUCACUGACAUUUCCAGUUUUUUUUCUUUCAAAAAAAUUUGUUAAGAAUCAUUGUGUCAUGUUUGUCCUCCUACAGAAACCAUAUUAAAACAAAAAAUAUAUUUCCCAUUUUCAAAGAUUUAGAAAAAGCUCCAGAGGGCCGCUAGGGCUCAUGCGGCUCUAAAGCCGCGGGUUGCCGACCUCUGUAUUAGUUAAUACUUUAAAAAUAACACGUUCACACUUUUUAAUAUUCAUAUCAAGCAACAUUGUGAUUUAUUGUAAAAGAGUGUAGAUUAAUACUUUAUAUAAAAUUAAGGAACCAAGAACUUCCCUUUGUUCAAACCACAUAUAUUCACAAUCUAGAGGGUUAAAAAUGUUCAAAUCAUGUACCCAGCCAUUCAUAAAUUGGACAUGUGCCUCCACUGACUUGUAAUUCUUGAAAUCAUUUGUGGUGUAAGCACUGACACCACAAACCAGAUAAGCAAAUAUAUCUGGGAAUGUCAGUGGAGGCAGGAGCCUCAGGGUCCCUGCUCCAACUUUUAAUUUCAAACUGGUCAAAAUUUCCAGUUUUAGCUAUUUUUUCCAUGUACUGUUUUUUCGGUAUCUGGUUGAAGCUUGUUGCAACAUAGCCCACUUUGUUUUGAAUUGCUUUUGAGCAUUAUGGAAGAGGAUACAGCGGUAAUACAAUAAAAACACAGGAAUAAUACUUGUUUUGGUCUGUGGCUUUCAAAGAUGGCGCUGAGCGACUGGCGAGAC